GUAUCCUCCCCCACAAGGCUCCAUUUUUGUCCUCUUUAAUUAAAGCUCUUUCAUUUACAAAGCUCCCCUUCUCUUCUUUUAAGCUAAAAUCCCCAUUUCCCAAAAGUUAAAGCAAAACAAAUCUACCCUCUUAGUUCCAUCUUUUUCUUCUUUUCAUUCACUUUCUUUACUUACUGUAUCAAGUUUGAAUCUUCAUUACUACUACUUUUUUGGUAAUAUAAAAUAAAGGGAAUAUAGUAUAGUUUAAAUUGGUUGCUCUGUUUUUAGUGAAGAAAAUAGAUACUCUGUUUUUUUAUAUAUAUUCUAGAGAGAGAAAGAGUGGUUUGGGAAGUUCUGCUGCUCUAUUGUUUAAUGGAUAAAAGCUGUAAUUCUUCUGGUGAGGGUGAUUCUACUGCUACUUCAGCAAGUAGUAGUAGCAGUGGUAAUAGAGAUAUGUAUUUGAAGCACCUAAACAAAAUCUCUCAUAAGAUCUCCAAACCCAUUAGAAAACCUGCUUAUUUUGAAAACCAGAAUCCUCCACAGGCGCAGACCCAACACGCUCCACCGCCUAUUCCUCCGCCUCCACCUCCACCAGCUGGGCCGCAAAAUUUGCAGCAACAGCCGCAGCAACAGCCGCCGGUGUAUAAUAUUAACAAGAGUGAUUUUAGGGAUGUUGUUCAGAAGCUUACGGGUUCCCCUGCUCAUGAAAGGAUUUCGACUCCUCCGCCUAUACAACAACCCAAGGCUGCAAGUUCACGGUUGCAGAGGAUCCGUCCUCCGCCACUUGCUCAGAUUAGCAACCGCCCACCUCCGUUUGUGAAUGUUUCUAAUAACGCCGUUGCUGGUGGUGGUGGUGGUGGGUUUCUUGGCGGUCAACGGCCUGUUCAGGCACAGCCGUUAUCUCCUCUCCCGCCGUUUCCGGCGGUGCAUGCGUCGGCGGAAUCGCCGAUCUCCGCUUACAUGAGGUUUCUACAGAGCUCAAUUGGUUCUGCUUCGACUGAUUCCGAUAGCAAGCGAUUCUCUACUGGGCUAUCACCACUUGCUCCGCGGUGGAACAACUUUGGUACGCCGCAGCAGCAACCACCAUUUCCGCCUCCUCAGACGCUUCCGCUGCCGCAUCAACAGAACAUUCCUCCGCCUCCAACAAACUCCUCCUUUGUUUUGCCACCGUUUCCAGCUUUUCCCUCAUCGCCACUGCCAUUUGGGUGUUUGCCGUCACCAAGAUCGCCGUACGGCUUGCUGUCUCCCGGUCUUCUGCUUUCACCGUCCCGUCAACUAGGGUUUCAGCAGCUCCCUUUGUCGCCGACACUUCCAGUGGCAAGCCCCAAGUGGAAGGGUAUUUGAGGAAUUUCAUAUUAACAUUAAAAAAAAGUAAGUCUUUUAGUAGUUUCUCAAUUUUGUUUUUGUUUUUUAUAAUAGGAAUAUAGUUUAUAAUUUGUACAUGUACAUUUUGUGGGAAUCAUUGGAUUAUAUUGAAAAGAGUAGAGUCUUUU
rnacentral:misc_RNA from 1 species